rnacentral:rRNA from 1 species
CAUGUAGGUGGAUACUUAAGUCUGUUGUGAAAAUGCGGGGCUCAACCCCGUAUUGCGAUGGAAACUGGGUGUCUUGAGUGCAGGAGAGGAAAGGGGAAUUCCCAGUGUAGCGGUGAAAUGCGUAGAUAUUGGGAGGAACACCAGUGGCGAAGGCGCCUUUCUGGACUGUGUCUGACACUGAGAUGCGAAAGCUAGGGGGAGCGAACG